GAGGAAUUUUCGCAUUAUAGUGUUUAAUCCAUUGUUAAACCCAAAACAAGCAUCAUGUUUAAACUUUUGUUGGUAAAAGCUGUAAUUGCUAUUAUUGUAAUUACAUCUGUGAUGUAUACAAUUUCUGCAGUAGAGGAGAAGAAACGCGUGGUGGGUUAAUUAAAGAAAAUGUGUCAGCUAUCGUAAUAAGUCUUGAAUAAAAAAAUUAAACUAUGUA